rnacentral:tRNA from 1 species
AAAUACUAGCCUAGUGGUUUAAGGCACUUGACUCAUAAUCAAGCAAAUCCAAAAAAGGAUUUCGUAGGUUCAAAUCCUGCGUAU